AACGAACGCUGGCGGCAGGCUUAACACAUGCAAGUCGAACGCCCCGCAAGGGGAGUGGCAGACGGGUGAGUAACGCGUGGGAAUCUACCCAUCCCUACGGCACAACUCCGGGAAACUGGCGCUAAUACCGUAUACGCCCUAAGGGGGAAAGAUUGAUCGGGGAUAGAUGAGCCCGCGUUGGAUUAGCUAGUUGGUGGGGUAAAGUCCUACCAAGGCGACGAUCCAUAGCUGGUAUGAGAGGAUGAUCAGCCACAUUGGGACUGCGACACGGCCCAAACUCCUACGGGAGGCAGCAGUGGGGAAUAUUGGACAAUGGGCGCAAGCCUGAUCCAGCCAUGCCGCGUGAGUGAUGAAGGUCUUAGGAUUGUAAAGCUCUUUCACCGGAGAGGAUAAUGACGGUAUCCGGAGAAGAAGCCCCGGCUAACUUCGUGCCAGCCGCCGCGGUAA
rnacentral:rRNA from 1 species